GGAAUCUUCCACAAUGGGCGAAAGCCUGAUGGAGCAACACCGCGUGAGUGAAGAAGGGUUUCGGCUCGUAAAGCUCUGUUGUUAAAGAAGAACACGUAUGAGAGUAACUGUUCAUACGUUGACGGUAUUUAACCAGAAAGUCACGGCUAACUACGUGCCAG
rnacentral:rRNA from 1 species